CCGCGGAUAGCUCAGCUGGUAGGCGGCAUCUGCCCGGUAUGCGGAGGGUCGCCGGUUUCGAUUCCGGCGUCGCGGC
rnacentral:tRNA from 1 species